AGUCGAACGGCACCCCUCUCCGGAGGGAAGCGAGUGGCGAACGGCUGAGUAACACGUGGAGAACCUGCCCCCUCCCCCGGGAUAGCCGCCCGAAAGGACGGGUAAUACCGGAUACCCCGAGGUGCCGCAUGGCACCCCGGCUAAAGCCCCGACGGGAGGGGAUGGCUCCGCGGCCCAUCAGGUAGACGGCGGGGUGACGGCCCACCGUGCCGACAACGGGUAGCCGGGUUGAGAGACCGACCGGCCAGAUUGGGACUGAGACACGGCCCAGACUCCUACGGGAGGCAGCAGUGGGGAAUCUUGCGCAAUGGGGGGAACCCUGACGCAGCGACGCCGCGUGCGGGACGGAGGCCUUCGGGUCGUAAACCGCUUUCAGCAGGGAAGAGUCAAGACUGUACCUGCAGAAGAAGCCCCGGCUAACUACGUGCCAGCAGCCGCGGUAAUACGUAGGGGGCGAGCGUUAUCCGGAUUCAUUGGGCGUAAAGCGCGCGUAGGCGGCCCGGCAGGCCGGGGGUCGAAGCGGGGGGCUCAACCCCCCGAAGCCCCCGGAACCUCCGCGGCUUGGGUCCGGUAGGGGAGGGUGGAACACCCGGUGUAGCGGUGGAAUGCGCAGAUAUCGGGUGGAACACCGGUGGCGAAGGCGGCCCUCUGGGCCGAGACCGACGCUGAGGCGCGAAAGCUGGGGGAGCGAACAGGAUUAGAUACCCUGGUAGUCCCAGCCGUAAACGAUGGACGCUAGGUGUGGGGGGACGAUCCCCCCGUGCCGCAGCCAACGCAUUAAGCGUCCCGCCUGGGGAGUACGGCCGCAAGG
rnacentral:rRNA from 1 species